GACGAACCGUGCAAACGUUGUUCGGAAUCACUGGGCUUAAAGGGCGCGUAGGCGGGUUUUCAAGUCAGGGGUGAAAGCCCCCAGCUCAACUGGGGAAGUGCCUUUGAUACUGGAGAUCUCGAGGGAGGUAGGGGCGUGCGGAACUUCCGGUGGAGCGGUGAAAUGCGUAGAUAUCGGAAGGAACACCGGUGGCGAAAGCGGCGCGCUGGACCUCUUCUGACGCUGAUGCGCGAAAGCCAGGGGAGCAAACGGGG
rnacentral:rRNA from 1 species